rnacentral:rRNA from 1 species
CCUGCGGAAGGAUCAUUAAAAAACAAUAGCGGGUCCUCUUUGAAAUAUAAUGGGAUGUCUGAACCCUUGAAUAUGAACUUCGUUGCUUUGGCGGGCCGCCUUUAGGCACUGGCCUCGGCUGGUUGUGCCCGCCAGAGGACAAAACUCUUAUGUUUAGUGAAGUCUGAGUACUAUAUAAUAGUUAAAACUUUCAACAACGGAUCUCUUGGUUCUGGCAUCGAUGAAGAACGCAGCGAAAUGCGAUAAGUAAUGUGAAUUGCAGAAUUCAGUGAAUCAUCGAAUCUUUGAACGCACAUUGCGCCCCUUGGUAUUCCGAGGGGCAUGCCUGUUCGAGCGUCAUAUAAACACAUCCCUCACGGGGUCUUGGGAUCCGCCUCCGGGCGGUCCUUAAAAUCAGUGGCGGUGCCAUCUGGCUCUAAGCGUAGUAAUUAUCCUCGCUAUAGACCUCAGGUGGUUGCUUGCCAACAACCCCUAAAUUUUUCACGUUUGACCUCGGAUCAGGUAGGGAUACCCGCUGAACUUAAGCAUAUCAAAAGCCGGA